ACUUGGAAGAAUGGCAUUGGCAUAUAUGGCUUGAAUGGCACGGCAAGCAUUCAUUCCAUUCCACUUGAUAAAGAGAAACCCUCUUUUCUCUCCUCCAAUAAUCCUUUCCUUAUUUCUUUUCGCCAGUCUCACCAAGCCACUUUGUUUUUUCUUUCUCCCUCAACCUAACCUCCUUUCACUUCACUUCACCCUUCUCUUUCACUAUGGAGACAACUGCUACAGCUACUACUUCCGCACCCAACACUCGACGCCGCUCAUUCCGCUGCUCCUUCGUCACACGCUGCUGUCGCUGCUUCUGCUGUUUCUACUCCUUCCCUUAAACUAACAAAUGCACCACCCAACCCGGUUUUCUCACUGCACCUUCUCGUUCCGCGCGAAUCUUAUUUCCAAUCAUCGCUGCACACACAUUACAACCUUCGAAGCGUUCCCUUUUAGGAAAUUUCUAGUCCAUUUGAUUACUGUGACUGCAACCCGUAAGAGUCUUCAAAGUCCAUAGCGUAUCAUCUUUUACCGAAGAGGGACAAAACCCAGGAAGCAAGGCAAGGUUCCAAACUAUGGAUAUGACCCUAGUUGUCAUUUUGAGGAGAAGAUAAAUUUUGCUUUAUUUUUAAUUAAUUACACUGCUGCUCCAGCCAUUGCUUUAGAACAAGGUAAGGUUCCAAUGUACAAAUCAUAUAUGUAACAGGUGAAGAAAAGUACAAAUGCAUUAGCGUCUGCUUUGUUGGAAAAAAAAAUGUAGAUUAGUGACAAAUGAGACUCACAAUCAUCUGUUGUUGUGCGAUCUAACAAUACUUGGAUUAAUUGGUAAUUUGGUAUUUUUUUAUUCCACAUUUUGCAAUAUGUUUCAAAGAAUUACAGAUUUGAAAUGAUUAUGCUGUAUUUCCAUAAUAAAAAUUUAUUAUUUGGUGUGCUGGUGGUGGGAAAUAGUGCAAUUAUAUGAGCAACUUAGAAUUUAUGACUUUGUCUCUAAUAAAUUAAAAUUGUAUGAUUUAUAUAUAGAAAACGAAGGGUUAAUAUAUAUUAAGAGGAAUAACUUAUUCACUGAUUGUUCUAAUAACUUUGAUUUGGCAUUUUGGCUUGUUUUACUUUACCACCUCGUGGUUUACAAUGAAUUUGCUCCUCUAGUUAGCACAUAAUCCCUGUAGAUUUUUCUCUUCAAUUCUUUUUGCUGAAUAAGCUUAUGAUCAAGUGCUGUGCAAAAAAAAAAGCUUAUGAUCAAGUAACCCCAUUGACUAAGGUGGAAAUGUAUUGUGAUUAGUGAUUACACCCUAAAUUAACUUCAUGCGUAGUUUUUAUUUAUUUAUUAUUCCCAGGUAAUAAUGCAUUUUUAGAACUAUGAAGUUGGGGUCUUAUUUUCUAUGAUCAGAUAAUUUUUUUCCCCUUAUGUAGGUUUCUCCUAAUUUAAUAUUUUUAAUUGAUGUAAAAUAUUUAAAGGAACUAUUUAAGCUUUUAAGCAAUUUGGGUGAGAUUUUUAAAUUUAGGGAUAGGUUAAGACUAAGAAACAGGUGGAUUGAGUUUUAUUAAAAAUGUCUUAAAACAGGGUGGCCUGGAAGAUAUUUGAAGAUUAAGGACAAAAGUUUGGGAGCUGUGAAUACUUCUUAUGACAGAAGAUUUGGUGGCGUCUAAUGUGGGUUGUUGGCCAUUCUUUUUGGGUCCUUGGUUUUUGGCCCAUUCAAGUGAAAACAAAUUAGUCCUAUAGCAGGAAACGUUAAACUUCUGUUAUUGUCUGGUAAUAGAGACAGAUCCACGAAAGACUUAAUAGUAAAGAAAUUAGAAGUUGAAGAAAGAGAGGAUAAAUAGCUUAGGUUUCUUGCAUUAAAAAUCUAAGUGGUGCAAUCUUAAAUAACUGAAUUUAGACCUUUGUUCAUAUAUCAUUACUAUUUAAAGUUCAUGGUUUUAUCUAUUUCAAUUUGAUAUUUAUGCUAUUCUUAUAUUUAUAUUGUUGACUGGUUAUAUAUCAUGAUUCUCGGUUGACUGGUUGCAGCACCUCUAGACUCAUGUAUUUAAUAGCUCUAGGAUGUAUUGGAAUCUAAUGUACCUUAAUCCAAUAUGCGCUUUCUAUAAAAAUCAUGGAUAGGCCUAGAAAGUGUUACACAAAUUUCCAAUUUGAAUUUAAUGGGGUAUUUUCUUUUGCAAGCGCAAGAUAUUUGUUUUGUUUGUCUCUGUUUUUCUUCUUGUGUUUUGGAAGCUAUAUUCAUGUAGCAUUUGUAGAAGGUUGGUUUGGUAGGGGCCAGGAAGGAGAAGAAAAACAAAUCUUAUUUUGUUUUCUUGGCUGAUCCUUAUCUUCCAUCAAAUCAUAUUGUUUUGGAAUAGUACAGAUCCAUUUGUUUUACUUGGUUUGUUAAACUAUGUAUUCCCUUAUGUGUCUUUGUAGGUGUAUUUCACUCAUGCUUCUAAAUGCCCUUUUUCCCUACUGUAAAUUAUGUCUUUGAAGUUGAAGUUGACAUGAGAAUACUCUCUAAAUCAUUUUAUUAUUCAAAGCAGAAAAGAAUUAUGAAAAAGUCUGUGAGGUGUGCUACACCAUGCUCAAGAAAUGUGCUGUUUAUAAUUCUACAUUUUCUGGUGGAGUGAAAAUUGGAAAUAACAGUGACAUAAAGAUGUUAUUGAGCUCGGAAAUGAAGUUGAGACAUUUGCUUCCAGUUUGCAAUGCCAGGAUUCAGUAUUUGAUUUGAAUUUGUAAAAUCAGCCGACUCCAUAUGUCUCCAUUAAAUCUAUUAUGAUAAGUAUUGGCUUACAACAUAUUGUGUGGUAAGCCAUUUGGUUUUAUUCCUUGCUCAUAUCGUCACAUAGUUAGCUUCUGUAAAAUAGAAGUGAGACCAUAUUGCCAAAGCCAUAAAUCGCAUCAACAGUCUGCUUAGUUCUGACUUUGAUAUUGUACAAAGGUUUCUCUUCUCAACCAUAAUUUUUGUUACUUUGACUGGGAUGAAACUUUGUUAUGUAGUAUGUACAUGUUACUGCUGAACAGACUAGUACAUAAAUGAGAGAUCUUAUCUUUCAGUGCUCA